UAGAGUUUGAUCAUGGCUCAGGACGAACGCUGGCGGCGUGCCUAACACAUGCAAGUCGAACGGGGUUUAGAUGAAAGUUUACUUUCAUCUAAACCUAGUGGCGGACGGGUGAGUAACGCGUGGAUAACCUGCCCAUUAGACCGGGAUAACGCCGGGAAACUGGUGCUAAUACCGGAUACGCUCUUAUCUUCGCAUGGAGAGGAGAGGAAAGGGGCAACCCACUAAUGGAUGGAUCCGCGUCCCAUUAGCUAGAUGGCGGGGUAACGGCCCACCAUGGCGACGAUGGGUAGCCGGCCUGAGAGGGUGACCGGCCACACUGGGACUGAGACACGGCCCAGACUCCUACGGGAGGCAGCAGUGGGGAAUCUUCCGCAAUGGGCGAAAGCCUGACGGAGCAACGCCGCGUGAGUGACGAAGGCCUUCGGGUCGUAAAACUCUGUCUUCAGGGAAGAGCAAAGACGGUACCUGAGGAGGAAGCCCCGGCUAACUACGUGCCAGCCGCCGCGGUAAUUCA
rnacentral:rRNA from 1 species